rnacentral:rRNA from 1 species
AUUGAACGCUGGCGGCAUGCCUUACACAUGCAAGUCGAACGGUAACGCGGGGCAACCUGGCGACGAGUGGCGAACGGGUGAGUAACGCAUCGGAACGUGCCCAGUAGUGGGGGAUAGCCCGGCGAAAGCCGGAUUAAUACCGCAUACGACCUACGGGUGAAAGCGGGGGAUCGCAAGACCUCGCGCUAUUGGAGCGGCCGAUGUCAGAUUAGGUUGUUGGUGGGGUAAAGGCCCACCAAGCCUGUGAUCUGUAGCUGGUCUGAGGGGACGACCAGCCACACGGGGACUGGGACACGGCCCAGACUCCUACGGGAGGCAGCAGUGGGGAAUUUUGGACAAUGGGCGCAAGCCUGAUCCAGCCAUGCCACGUGCGGGAAGAAGGCCUUCGGGUUGUAAACCGCUUUUGUCAGGGAAGAAACGCUCUGGGUUAAUACCCCGGGGUAAUGACGGUACCUGAAGAAUAAGCACCGGCUAACUACGUGCCAGCCGCCGCGGUAAUAC